rnacentral:rRNA from 1 species
UAGAUACCCUGGUAGUCCACGCCGUAAACGAUGAGUGCUAAGUGUUAGGGGGUUUCCGCCCCUUAGUGCUGCAGCAAACGCAUUAAGCACUCCGCCUGGGGAGUACGACCGCAAGGUUGAAACUCAAAUGAAUUGACGGGGACCCGCACAAGCGGUGGAGCAUGUGGUUUAAUUCGAAGCAACGCGAAGAACCUUACCAAAUCUUGACAUCCUUUGAUCACUCUAGAGAUAGAGUUUCCCUUAUGGGCAA